UCCUUGUUACUAUAGUGGUAAGUAUCUCUGCCUGUCAUGCAUGAGAGAGGGGGUCGAUUCCCUGACGGGGAG
rnacentral:tRNA from 1 species